GACGAACGCUGGCGGCAUGCCUUACACAUGCAAGUCGAGCGGCAGCGGGAAAGUAGCUUGCUACUUUUGCCGGCGAGCGGCGGACGGGUGAGUAAUGCCUGGGAAAUUGCCCAGUCGAGGGGGAUAACAGUUGGAAACGACUGCUAAUACCGCAUACGCCCUACGGGGGAAAGCAGGGGACCUUCGGGCCUUGCGCGAUUGGCUACGCCCAGGUGGGAUUAGCUAGUUGGUGAGGUAAUGGCUCACCAAGGCGACGAUCCCUAGCUGGUCCGAGAGGAUGAUCAGCCACACUGGAACUGAGACACGGUCCAGACUCCUACGGGAGGCAGCAGUGGGGAAUAUUGCACAAUGGGGGAAACCCUGAUGCAGCCAUGCCGCGUGUGUGAAGAAGGCCUUCGGGUUGUAAAGCACUUUCAGCGAGGAGGAAAGGUUGAUGCCUAAUACGUAUCAACUGUGACGUUACUCGCAGAAGAAGUACCGGCUAACUCCGUGCCAGCCGCCGCGGUAAAAC
rnacentral:rRNA from 1 species